rnacentral:rRNA from 1 species
GACGAACGCUGGCGGCGUGCUUAACACAUGCAAGUCGAACGGAAAGGCCCCUUUGGGGGUCCUCGAGUGGCGAACGGGUGAGUAACACGUGAGUAACCUGCCCUUGACUUCGGGAUAACUUCAGGAGACUGGGGCUAAUACCGGAUAGGAAUCCUUGCUGCAUGGUGGGGGUUGGAAAGCUUCGGCGGUUUUGGAUGGACUCGCGGCUUAUCAGCUUGUUGGUGGGGUAGUGGCUUACCAAGGCUUUGACGGGUAGCCGGCCUGAGAGGGCGACCGGCCACAUUGGGACUGAGAUACGGCCCAGACGCCUACGGGAGGCAGCAGUGGGGAAUAUUGCACAAUGGGCGGAAGCCGGAUGCAGCAACGCCGCGUGCGGGAUGACGGCCUUCGGGUUGUAAACCGCUUUCAGCAGGGGCGAAGCUUGUGGUGACGGUACCUGCAGAAGAAGCACCGGCUAACUACGUG